GGGCGCCUUGUUGAUAAUAUGGCGGCGGGAGCUGCCCGGGCGUCUCGAGGAGGCGGCGGGGCCCACACCCGGAAGAAGCGGCUCCUGUCGGGCUAGUGCGGCAGCCGCUGCGCACCCGGAAGUCCGGGCCGGUUGCUGAAUGAGGGGAGCCGGGCCCUCCCCGCGCCAGUCCCCCCGCGCCCUCCGCCCCGACCCGGGCCCCGCCAUGUCCUUCUUCCGGCGGAAAGCCAGAGGCAGAGAGCAGGAGAAGACCUCGGACGUCCCGUCGGGGAAAGCUUCAAUAUCCGUACAUUCCCCACAAAAAAGCACCAAAAAUCAUGCCUUGCUGGAGGCUGCAGGACCAAGCCCCGUGGCGAUCAGUGCCAUCUCUGCCAACAUGGACUCCUUUUCCCGGAGCAGGACAGCCACGCUGAAGAAGCAGCCGAGCCACAUGGAGGCCGCUCAUUUCGGGGACCUGGGCAGAUCUUGUCUGGACUACCAGGCUCAAGAGACCAAAUCCAGCCUCUCGAAGACCCUUGAACAAGUCUUGCGCGACGCCGUCGUCCUCCCGUAUUUCAUUCAGUUCAUGGAACUUCGGAGAAUGGAGCAUUUGGUUAAGUUUUGGUUAGAGGCUGAAAGUUUCCACUCGACAACGUGGUCGCGAAUAAGAGCCCACAGUCUGAACACGGUGAAGCAGAGCUCAUUGGCGGAACCCGUCUCUCCAACUCAAAAGCGCGAAACUGCGGCUGCUUCUGUAACCGAGUCCCUUGACCAGAGGUUGGAGGAGUCGAGCUCCGCGCAGUUGCUCCUGACUCAGUCCGAAGGAAUCGGCGUGACUGACAGAACUGGCAACACUCAGAAUCACUUGCUGCUCUCCCCGGAAUGUGACGGCGCCCGUGCUCUCCACCCGGCAGCGGCCAGGACAGGGGCGCGUCGGGCUUCCCUGGAACCCCAGGAGUCCUGCAGACUUACCGUGGCCAGUAGAAAUAGUCCCUCUUCUCCACUGAAGGAGGUGUCAGGAAAAUUAAUGAAAAGCAUAGAACAAGAUGCAGUGAACACCUUUACCAAGUACAUAUCUCCGGAUGCUGCUAAACCAAUACCCAUCACAGAAGCCAUGAGAAAUGACAUCAUAGCGAAGAUUUGUGGAGAAGAUGGGCAGGUGGAUCCCAACUGCUUCGUUUUGGCACAGUCCAUAGUCUUCAGUGCAAUGGAGCAGGAGCACUUUAGUGAGUUUCUACGAAGUCACCAUUUCUGUAAAUACCAGAUUGAAGUGCUGACCAGUGGAACUGUUUACCUGGCUGACAUUCUCUUCUGUGAGUCAGCCCUCUUUUAUUUCUCUGAGUACAUGGAGAAAGAGGACGCGGUGAAUAUCUUACAGUUCUGGCUGGCAGCAGAUAACUUCCAGUCUCAGCUCGCGGCCAAGAAGGGCCAGUACGAUGGGCAGGAGGCCCAGAACGAUGCCAUGAUUUUGUACGACAAGUACUUCUCCCUCCAAGCCACACAUCCUCUUGGAUUCGAUGAUGUGGUCCGAUUAGAAAUCGAAUCCAACAUCUGCAGGGAAGGUGGGCCCCUGCCUAACUGCUUCACCACUCCAUUGCGUCAGGCCUGGACCACCAUGGAGAAGGUCUUUCUGCCUGGCUUUCUGUCCAGCAGCCUCUAUUACAAGUAUCUGAAUGAUCUCAUCCAUUCGGUGCGUGGAGAUGAGUUUCUGGGAGCGAGUGCUUCUCUGGCAGCUCAGGGCUCCGGCGGCCCCCCUGAUGACCCGCUGCCAGGGGCUUCGGACCCCUCGGCGUCCCAGUCCAGUGUGAAAAAAGCCAGUGUUAAAAUUCUGAAAAAUUUUGAUGAAGCAAUAAUUGUGGAUGCUGCAAGUCUGGACCCAGAAUCUUUAUAUCAACGGACAUAUGCAGGGAAAAUGACUUUUGGAAGAGUGAGUGACUUGGGGCAGUUCAUCCGAGAGUCGGAGCCUGAACCUGACGUCAAGAAAUCUAAAGGGUCCAUGUUCUCACAAGCGAUGAAGAAAUGGGUGCAAGGAAACAGUGACGAGGCCCAAGAGGAGCUGGCCUGGAAGAUUGCGAAAAUGAUCGUCAGUGACGUCAUGCAGCAGGCGCAGUGUGCUCAGCCAGGGGAGACGGCUGCCAAGAUACUGAUCUGCACACAUGGUGGGUGAAAAUGCCCAUCGCCAGGGAAAGAAGUACCAGAAAUUCCUAAGCUGAACAGUUCCCGGAACCGGGGGCUGGGAGUCACGGUCCUGCUGGCCAGUGUGGACAGAUUUUCUGAUGCACGGGGCGUUGGGUAGUAUCUUCCGGAACGUUGCGCCUCAGUACUGAAGCUGUGACUCAAGACUUGAGAUAAAGGAAGUCUGCUUUUGGAAAGUGAGAGAACUUUUUUCCUUUGGUUGGGUUCGUCUGCACAGCCGACGCGAACAGGGCCCUGUACUCUCCUUCCCACUGAUGAGUCACCGCUGUUCCCAGGAAAGACUGGCGGACAGUCCCGGACGCCCACCGUCCACGGGGCGCUCUGUGGGCGCGUCUGCUGCAUUCGGUGGCCCCAGUGAGCGGCAUGGAGGCACAGUGGUGUUUACACGGCCAGAGGGGUCGUCCUCACUGUCCGUGGGCGCGCUUUGCGCGUCCGCUGGAUAGACAGGGACACGCGGUGGGAGGCGGGAGCGCAGAGCCGGUAGCGGUGCCCACCCGGUACCAGCGACCCACCCCCAGCAGCCUCACCGGGCGGGUGCCCGAGGGGCCUCGCUGUCUCCUAACCAGACAGGUGAGCCAGCCCCUCCGAGAGCCACGUGGGGCGGCACGCCAGGUGGUUUUGCCUCCGAGGAACCGGCGACGGCUCCUGGCCUGUCUUCCUGCACGGCGGCGCUCCCUUGGAAGGAAGCUGACGGGUCACGGUCACAGGUCCAUCUUGGUGGCAUUGUCCUUCCCUCUGGUGACAGUGCACGGUUUUCAUUUCCUUCGCCCCUGAGCGGCAGUGUCCCUGAACCAGCUCUGCCCCGCUGCCAACAGGGCGAAGCUCCUGUCCUCUGCGUGUCAGGACGUGCCCCUCCGGGGUCCUGUGCUCCAGCUCCUUCACUGUCCUCCAGAGCACACACGGCCAGGAGGUGACGGCGGCCAGCACUCCAGUUUCCCCUGUGGUUCCUUGAACACAGUGUUUAUGCCCAGGUUGUACACGUUUUGGAAGGCGGGCCCCCCGCCCUCGGCUCUGACUGCCCUCCCCCUUGCUGUGCGCUGGGGGGCGUGCGGUUUGUGGCCUUUCCCCUCCGGCCUUGGGGCAGCGAGGCCCCGCUGCACCUCCGCCCACGUCAGCAGGGCCGCCCCGUCGGCCAGCACACUCCUCCGGCGGGCGUGCCAGCCUGGCCUCGCCUCACGGACUGUCCGGGAAAGGCCGUUCCCUUCGGUGUUACCGCUUCUGCUCAGACUUUGCAAAAAACAUACCUAUAAAUAUAUAAUUAUCAGUCACCCCUGUCCUUGAGAAAGUCUUGAAUGAAUAGAGAAUUUAUCCCACUGCAACAUUUGAUUGUACGGAGGCGCACUGUUUCAUCAACGGAAGAAGCAGAAAGGCUGUGUGUAAGUUUUGGGUACCGUGUACCACCUCUGUUAUUCUUCUAAAGCCAAGUAUUCAUGUACUUAAACCACAUUCUAUUUAAUUGUGUUUGAUUUUAAAAUAUAUAUAUAUAUAUGAAUUAUA